CAGUCGUACUUACGGGUAAUCAGCCUUUUGGGUGUGAUUUUGUGGAGCGUGAGGAGUUAAACGCCUUCAUGCCUGCAUAUUCGUGCACUUUGGGUGUACUUGCCCGUGUGUAAGUUAACAUCAAUUUUGGUGGUCAUAAAAUGGCUGGAGGAAUGUAGCUUUGGUCUCGUAUCGAAGUGUUAUAGACUCUGGUAGAUGUGACGAUUGGGGAUUGAGGAUUGUAACGGAUACCCGUUCGGGCCUACCCGGUCUGAUCUCUGAAGGUUGCUCCGGUGCCGAAGGCGUGCUUAGUGGUCAUCGAAAGUG
rnacentral:rRNA from 1 species